CGGAUUGCAGUCUGAAACUCGAGUGCAUGAAGCUGGAAUCGCUAGUAAUCGCAAAUCAGAAUGUUGCGGUGAAUACGUUCCCGGGUCUUGUACACACCGCCCGUCACACCAUGGGAGUUGGAAAUGCCCGAAGUCAGUGACCCAACCAAAGGAGGGAGCUGCCGAAGGCAGGUUCGAUGACUGGGGUGAAGUCGUAACAAGGUAUC
rnacentral:rRNA from 1 species